UACGAAGGGGGCUAGCGUUGCUCGGAAUCACUGGGCGUAAAGCGCACGUAGGCGGCUUUUUAAGUCAGGGGUGAAAUCCUGGAGCUCAACUCCAGAACUGCCUUUGAUACUGGGAAGCUUGAGUCCGGAAGAGGUGAGUGGAACUCCGAGUGUAGAGGUGAAAUUCGUAGAUAUUCGGAAGAACACCAGUGGCGAAGGCGGCUCUCUGGGACGGUACUGACGCUGAGACGCGAAAGCCAGGGGAGCAAACGGG
rnacentral:rRNA from 1 species